ACCUGAGGUUGCUGCUGUGUGACUAAGGACCAGAACGAGGCUGACCUUGAAUAACUGAAGCCACAGAAAGGGGUACCACGGACAAGGGACGACUACCAAAUAAUUAUCUAAGACUUCUGAGUCAUCAACAAAACAAUGAAGAUUAUCAAGAUGAAUGGAGAGGAGCCCGCCACCCUCCUUAUUCAUCACAGAGUCGUUCAGCCCUGUUAUCGCUCAUGCUGAGAGAUUUAUUGGUAAUUAUUGCAGCAGUUUGAACCCUGGUGGCAGAGCACUGAGAAAGGAGCAGAGGAGCACUUGCUGAUGAAGAUGAGAAGGUGACAGGUGUCAGGCUCAGCAUCAAGAUAUGGAGCGCCCAUCUCCAGACCUAUUUUUAUAACACACCUGCAGAGACGGGGACUGUAUUCCUGGCCCA
rnacentral:lncRNA from 1 species